rnacentral:rRNA from 1 species
UAAGUGAUCUAUCCUCAUGCGGGGGACAACCCGGGGAAACCCGAGCUAAUACCGCAUGGUCGGACUGGCUGCAUGGCCGGACCGGGAAAGGUGGCCUCUUCUUGAAAGCUACCGCGUGGGGAGGAGCUUGCGGGCUAUCAGCUAGUUGGUGCGGUAACGGCGCACCAAGGCAACGACGGCGUAGGGGGUCUGAGACGGACCCGACCCCCCCGANAUUGGGACUGAGACACGGCCCAGACCUCCGUACGGGAGCAG